CAGUCGCCACGGGAAUACAGAGGGUGCAAGCGUUAAUCGGAAUUACUGGGCGUAAAGCGCGCGUAGGUGGUUUGUUAAGUUGGAUGUGAAAUCCCCGGGCUCAACCUGGGAACUGCAUCCAAAACUGGCAAGCUAGAGUAUGGUAGAGGGUGGUGGAAUUUCCUGUGUAGCGGUGAAAUGCGUAGAUAUAGGAAGGAACACCAACGGCGAAAGCACUCUGCUGGGCCGACACUGACACUGAGAGACGAAAGCUAGGGGAGCAAAUGGGAUUAGAGACCCCGGUAGUCCCUGUCUCUUAUAC
rnacentral:rRNA from 1 species